GGAGUUGAAAAAGUAUUUUAUUUAAACAGAUAUAUGGCCCUAAAGGCAUUUAUAGGGCAAAUCUAUAUUUACAUAUUUUAUUUUGAGGUGAAACUACUUCCAAAAGUUGUAUCAUGGUAGAAUAUGAUUUUAGAAAUUUUCUGGGAUUUAUUUGGACCAAUUUGGAGUUCAAACUCAAAAGAUAUCAAAGAAAUGAGAAAAGCAGAAAAAGAAAAGGCUAAAAGAAAAAAAAAAUAGAAAACCGGACCGAACCGGCCGUUUUGGGCCGAACCGGCCUGGUCCGACCGCGCCCGAGCCGACCCGACCGGCCC
rnacentral:lncRNA from 1 species